rnacentral:rRNA from 1 species
CCGGUCCUUCCAAGUGGAGAAUACGCGGAACUCUUCUUGGCAUGUUGUUCAGGGAAGAUGUUUGCACUUCAUUGUGUGUCAUUUGAUCUGAAUUUUUACUUUGAGGAAAUGAGAGUGUUUCAAGCAGGCUUUCGCCGUGAAUAUGAUAGCAUGGAAUAAUAGCAAGGACCGUGUGUCAGAGCUGUUGGUUUUUGGCACGUGGUAAGUUUUAAUAAGGAUAGUUGGGGGUAUUCGUAUUUAACUGUCAGAGGUGAAAUUCUUGGAUUUUUUAAAGACGAACUAUUGCGAAGGCAUUUACCCAGGAUGUUUUUAUUGAUCAAGAACGAAAGUUAGGGGAUCGAAGACGAUCAGAUACCGUCCUAGUCUUAACCUUAAACUAUGCCGACUGGGGAUUGGACGUUGUCAACUUCUGACACGUUCAGCACCCUGAGAGAAAUCUAAGUCUUUGGGUUCCGGGGGGAGUAUGGUCGCAAGGCUGAAACUUAAAGGAAUUGACGGAAGGGCACCACCAGGAGUGGAGCCUGCGGCUUAAUUUGACUCAACACGGGGAAAACUCACCA